rnacentral:rRNA from 1 species
UACAGAGGGUGCAAGCGUUAAUCGGAAUUACUGGGCGUAAAGCGUGCGUAGUCGGUUAUUUAAGUCGGGUGUGAAAGCCCCGGGCUCAACCUGGGAAUUGCAUUCGAUACUGGAUAGCUAGAGUUCGGCAGAGGGAAGCGGAAUUUCCGGUGUAGCGGUGAAAUGCGUAGAUAUCGGAAGGAACAUCAGUGGCGAAAGCGGCUUCCUGGACCAGAACUGACGAUCAGGCACGAAAGCGUGGGGAGCGAACAGG